rnacentral:lncRNA from 1 species
GUUGGCCGUGGUUACUGGCCAUUUGGAUUUUCUCUGAGCCACUUCUGAGCAGAGAGGGAUACACAGCCCAUAUAAUGACAUUGGGGCCUCUGUUUCACAUUUUCAAAUCUCCCCAUGCUCCUAAUGCCUAUUGCAGGAAAUGGAACAAGGUUGGUGCUCAUUUGUAUCUGUUGAAGGGCACUGAGUCUCUUUGCUGUCAGCAGUGGUCUUGCCAAGCUGUUCCUUGUGGUUGGAAGCAUUCCAGCUUUAGAAAUCACACAAAGCAAAUUGCUAACAGUGAGUGGAAUAAAUAUUUGAGCAUUUCAGGGCCCUGGUGGCUUUGAUGGUUAAGCCAAGUGUCUUGCUGAGGGGCAAGAAUCUGAGACUGACAGAUCACAGGCUAUGGAGGCCUUUGGUGGGUUGGACCCACUAUGCUAUUUGGCAAAUCUGCCCCCAAAGACUCAUUUGGAAGCUACAGAGCGAAUAGUUCAAGGCUACUGUGGAAAGUGCUGCCUCAUGGGGCAUGUCUUGGAAGUGACUUGCUGUGUGACUCAUAGGCUUUUUGGCUGCAAGGAACUCAGAGGGGUGGCAUCAGCUUACCCCGAUCACCAGUCAGACCGCAUCAAAUCAUGCCCUCCGUGACAGCUAAAGUGCCCACCAGUCCCCCAGCCUGGCCCUGGAGACUGGUCCUGACCUGGCCUCCACCCUCCCUCCCAGCGCCAUCUACUAUUGUUUCCAUUCCUGUGUAUUGAGAACAAUUGUUCCCACCUCUUUGGGUAUGAGUGUGAAGUUUGAAAUCAGAGAGCUCUGCAUUCAAGUUGUGGCUUCAUUACUGCAUUCUGAGUGCUGAACAUGGUGCCUGGUAUAUAGGAAUGAGUCAAUAAAUAGUUUUAUUUUUGUUUUCUUAUUAAAAAUAUUUUUAAAGAGAUGGGGGUCUCUCUAUGUUGCCCAGGCUUGACUCAAACUUCCUUCUGGGCUCAAGUGAUCUUCCUGCUUCAGCCUACUGAGUAGCUGCGACUACAGGUGGGUGUUACUGCACAUGGAUUACAAAAACAAGUCUUAAAACAUAUGACUCCUAGUCACUCAAAAUGUGUUCCCUAGACCAGCAACAUAGGUAUCACCUGGGAACUUCUUAGAAAUGCAGGCUCACGCCUGUAAUCCCAGCACUUUGGGAGGCCGAGGCAGGCGGAUCACGAGAUCAGGAGAUCGAGACCAUCCUGGCUAACACGGUGAAACCCCGUCUCUACUAAAAAUACAAAAAAAUUAGCCAGGCGUGGUGGCGGGCACCUGUAGUCCCAGCUACUCGGGAGGCUGAGGCAGGAGAAUGGCAUGAACCCGAGAGGCAGAGCUUGCAGUGAGCCGAGAUUGUGCCACUGCACUCCAGCCUGGGCGACAGAGCGAGACUCCGUCUCAAAAAAAAAAAAAAAAAAAAAAAAA